rnacentral:rRNA from 1 species
GAUGAACGCUGGCGGCGUGCCUAAUACAUGCAAGUCGAGCGAACGGACGAGAAGCUUGCUUCUCUGAUGUUAGCGGCGGACGGGUGAGUAACACGUGGAUAACCUACCUAUAAGACUGGUAUAACUUCGGGAAACCGGAGCUAAUACCGGAUAAUAUUUUGAACCGCAUGGUUCAAAAGUGAAAGACGGUCUUGCUGUCACUUAUAGAUGGAUCCGCGCUGCAUUAGCUAGUUGGUAAGGUAACGGCUUACCAAGGCAACGAUGCAUAGCCGACCUGAGAGGAUGGUCGGCCAGACUGGAACUGCGACACGGUCCAGACUCCUACGGGAGGCAGCAGUAGGGAAUCUUCCGCAAUGGGCGAAAGCCUGACGGAACAACGCCGCGUGAGUGAAGAAGGUCUUCGGAUCGUAAAUCUCUGUUAUUAGGGAAGAACAUAUGUGUAAGUAAGUGUGCACAUCUUGACGGUACCUAAUCAAAAAGCCACGGCUAACUACGUG